rnacentral:rRNA from 1 species
UGCGCAGGCGGUUUUUUAAGACAGGCGUGAAAUCCCCGGGCUUAACCUGGGAACUGCGCUUGUGACUGGAAGGCUAGAGUACGGCAGAGGGGGGUGGAAUUCCACGUGUAGCAGUGAAAUGCGUAGAGAUGUGGAGGAACACCGAUGGCGAAGGCAGCCCCCUGGGCCGAUACUGACGCUCAUGCACGAAAGCGUGGGGAGCAAACA